rnacentral:rRNA from 1 species
UACAGAGGCCUCGAGCGUUUAGGCGGAAUCACUGGGCGUAAAGCGCACGUAGGCGGCUUGUUAAGUCGGGGGUGAAAUCCUGGAGCUCAACUCCAGAACUGCCUUCGAUACUGGCAAUCUUGAGUCCGGGAGAGGUGAGUGGAACUCCUAGUGUAGAGGUGAAAUUCGUAGAUAUUAGGAAGAACACCAGUGGCGAAGGCGGCUCACUGGCCCGGAACUGACGCUGAGGUACGAAAGCGUGGGGAGCAAACAGGG